rnacentral:rRNA from 1 species
GAUGAACGCUGGCGGCGUGCCUAAUACAUGCAAGUCGAGCGAACAGACGAGGAGCUUGCUCCUCUGACGUUAGCGGCGGACGGGUGAGUAACACGUGGAUAACCUACCUAUAAGACUGGGAUAACUUCGGGAAACCGGCUCUAAUACCGGAUAAUAUAUUGAACCGCAUGGUUCAAUAGUGAAAGACGGUUUUGCUGUCACUUAUAGAUGGAUCCGCGCCGCAUUAGCUAGUUGGUAAGGUAACGGCUUACCAAGGCAACGAUGCGUAGCCGACCUGAGAGGGUGAUCGGCCACACUGGAACUGAGACACGGUCCAGACUCCUACGGGAGGCAGCAGUAGGGAAUCUUCCGCAAUGGGCGAAAGCUUGACGGAGCAACGCCGCGUGAGUGAUGAAGGUCUUCGGAUCGUAAAACUCUGUUAUUAGGGAAGAACAAAUGUGUAAGUAACUAUGCACGUCUUGACGGUACCUAAUCAGAAAGCGACGGCUAACUACGUG